AGGUGUCUUAAGUUAAGAUAGCACCUUAAGAGCUAUCCAAGUGAAGCGAUGACCCUUGUGGGGAGUUUUGUCUUCCAUGUAAGCUUCCAUCGCCAAUGCUUAGUUACUUCAUUGCUAGCACAUAAUUUCUUGUAUUCUGCCUUUACCGAAUAACAACCUCUAUUCAGAUUACCCCGCCUUAAGUUUUCUUGAGCUAUUGUAUUUAUUUGAAAGACUUUCAAGUAGCUGAAAAAGAUCAAAGAGUUCCCCAAGAUCUCAUUCAUUCAUGUGUCUUCUGAAUAGGGGAUCCUAUAUGUUUCCUGGUCUACAUUGGGCAAUUUUAGAGUCUGGAUAAACUGCUAUUUGGUACGGGGCUGAAUGGGUGUCUUUUAAUGGUUGAUUGUGAAGUCAUCUAUCCUUUCAGAACCUAACUAAGGUGUCAUCUCCGCCUCUAGAUGAAACAUCCUAAAAGAAUUCCUCUAUCAUAAUGUUGAUAAAUUUCCAAGGACCAACACAUGAAGGGCUCUACUCUGUUUGAUACUCAUGUGGCCUAGCUUCUCGUACUUAACAUUCACUACUUUCUUCCAUAAACAUGGUCCUUCCUAUCCAUACCUCCGCCACCACUUCAUAAGAAAAACUCUUAUUAUUCUGGGCCAAGUCUCUAACACCUAGUCCAUCUUGUUGAACUACCUUAAACCAUUUUACUAGAUGAAACUUGCGGCCUUCACUAUUCUUUCCAAAGAAAGGAUCUUCUGAUUUUGUACACUUACCUUUGCACCUUGCUAGGCAUAUAAAAUAAGGACAUGAUGUAUAUGUAAUCACAAAUUUUCGCGUCGAGAAAAAUAAAAAAUUAAUACUAAAAAAAUUGCGUAACAAAUGUAGUAUUUGUGUUUAAUAAGUAAAAGUGUUAUAAUCUCUAUGGUAUUCAUCUGAUUCUUCAAGAAUGUAAAGUAUCUUGAUGAACUUGAUUUUGAUUUGAUUCAAGGGCUUGUAAAGCUUGACCUUGAAUCUCCUCCUUGAAUUUGAAUUUGUGUUGGAUCAUGAACAAGUAAUUUGAUCUUCAAUGCCUUGGUGUUUGAUUUGGCGUCGUUCUUGAUCUUGAACUUGAACUUGUAGCAUGAGUGCAUGAGUGCAUGAACUUGUAACUUGUAGAAAAAUCUGCAGUGUUUGAUCCACGAGCUACCAACUUGCUUCUUGUUAUCCCUUCUGGUCCCCUUUAGCUUUAUGAAGACAUCUAUUUAUAGUUGUAAGGAGUGGUGUGGCUCUGCGAUUUUAUUGUUCCAUUUGAACUGACCAAUACCAUCCAGACAAUUGGUAUGAUUUAAUUGUCUCAUUUAUUUGGCUUGGAUUUCCACAUCACUUGACACAUUGGAUGGUUUUAUUGGCUCAUUUUGUUUGUCUUGGAUUGCGAUAAUAUGCAAAAUUUAGGUGAUUUAGCUAUUGUUUAUGCUUCCGCUUAAUUAUAUUUCAAUGUAAUAAUAUGGUUAAUUGAUGAAAAAUAGGCUCUAAUUGUGACUUGUAUACAUUGCAGGAUGAGGAGCUUAUAUGAUGCUUUCAAGAGGCUAUGAAAUGAUGUAUGAGCAAGAACAACCCCUCGGAGAUGAGUGCACGCAAGAAGGAGACAAAGAAUGGAAGAAAACAUGGCCCAGAUGCACGAGCAGACGUGCGAGUGACCGUAGUAGUUCUCGCAUGUUAAGGGUUGAGGCAGAAUGAUGCGCGAAGUGAUGCGCGAGCUCGCGCGAGGCCGGUCCGGAAAAAGAAUUAUUUAGGGGUAAAAUUGGAAAUCUUGAAAGAAACCUACUUAACCUAUAUAAAGUCAAGCUCGCCCAGUGUUAGAGAAUCAAGGUUUUCAUAGGGUAAAACUUACUUUUGAGAGUACUAUGGC
rnacentral:lncRNA from 1 species